rnacentral:lncRNA from 10 species
GAGAGGGUCCCCGCCCUGCCGGGAGCCCGGCCCUCCCGGUGCCGGGGUGGACACUGUUAGUGUAGUCAUUGUCCCUAUGGAGAAACUGAGGCAUGGAGAGGCUGAAGUCACACAAGCCCGCCACGAUGACUAUCAUGGUGGAGGACAUCAUGAAGCUGCUGUGCUCCCUUUCUGGGGAGAGGAAGAUGAAGGCGGCUGUCAAGCACUCUGGGAAGGGUGCCCUGGUCACAGGGGCCAUGGCCUUCGUCGGGGGUUUGGUGGGCGGCCCACCGGGACUCGCCGUUGGAUCCAGUCUAAGACACCGCAUUGCAUUGAAUCGCCUGCUUUCUUAGUCUCCUCUGGCCUUUAACACUUUCUCAGACUUGCCUUGUUCACAGCCUUGAUAGUUUUGAGGAGUACUGGGCAGGUAUUUCGUAGAACAUCUCUCAGUUUGAAUUUGCCAGUUGUGUUUAGGAUGGGACUGGAGUUAGGAGUCUUUGGGAGGCAUGCCUGGGAGGUGACAUGCCCCUCUCCCUUGUCUUGCAUUAAUUCUGGGGGUGUGUGAUAUUCACAUGACGUCAGUGAUAUUCACCUUGAACACUUGGUUAAGGGCAUGUUUGCUGGGUUUUUCCACUGCAAAGUUUCUGUUUCCCUUUCCAUACUCUGUCUGUUGAAAGUGAGUCACUAAGUCUAGUGGGCUUCAUCUUUAAAUAUCUGAUUGGUGAUAUUUAAAAAUCGUGAGAUGUUUUAAAGCUACAAAUCUGGUAUUUUGUGUGGUAGCAAUGAACUGGCGUGAAGUAGCCACUGCCACUCCAUAGGAACCAAGCUGUCCAGCUCUUCUGUGUCCUGGGCCUCGGAAGGUCCAUGCGAUUCAAGGCUUGGUUGGCCCAGACUAUAGACUGGGAUGAAGUCAGAGCCUGCCACCCAUCCAAUCUCAGCAGGGGAGAGGCCGGGUAAGGCCCAACCGCCCCUUCACUCUUCUUAGUUCCUCCCUGGCUCUUGGAGGCACUUGACUUUGGACCCCUUCCCUAGGGCACCUUCCGCUUCUCUGCACCAUAUUCUGCACGUGGCCUCUUCAGGUAGAACUUUCCGUGGAUACAAGGUCUUUAAGUCCCAGAAUAGCAUGACAUAGCCUUGGCAAUGAGUUUACAUUUAACAAUAAUGUUUCUGCCCUUUUAGGGUGGCAGAAGUAGAAAUAGUAAGCUACCUUACAUUUGAUAUUUAUUUUUAUUUUUUUGAGAUGGAGUCUCACUCUGUCGCCCAGGCUGGAGUGCAGUGGCACAGUCUUGGCUCACUGCAACCUCUGCCUCCCGGGUUCAAGUGAUUCUCCUGCCUCAGCCAGUAGCUGGGAUUACAGGCACCCACCACUAUGCCUGGCUAAUUUUUUGUAUUUUUAGUAGAGACAGGGUUUCACCAUGUUGGCCAGGCUAGUCUCCAACUCCUGACCUCGUGAUUCGCCCACCUCGGCCUCUCAAAGUGCUGGGAUUACAGGCGUGAGCCACUGCGCCCGGCCAGUUUGUUAUUUAUCGAUCAUACAACUUGGAGGGGAUCUAUGAAAAGCACUGCUUCAAGAGGAAAGAGCCUCCUUAUCUGUCCCCAGGUCCUUUAACCACAUGGGCUCACUGAAGAUUUUCUAAGUUCAGGGGCAAGGAGCAUAUCAGCUGCCUGGUGGAGGAAAUUCAGUCUCACCACUGAGAUGGUUUCUUUUUUGGAGACAGAGUCUUGCUCUGUCACCCAGGCUGGAGUGCAAGGGUAUGAUCUCGGCUCACUGCAACCUCUACUUCCCGGGUUCAAGUGAUUCUCCUGCCUCAGCUUCCAAGUAUCUGGGAUUACAGGCAUGUGCCCCCAAGCCCAGCUAAUUUUUGUAUUUUUAGUAGAGAUGGUGUUUCACCAUGUCGGCCAGGCUGGUGUCGAACUCCUGACCUCAGGUGAUCCACCUGCCCUGGCCUCCCAAAUUGCUGAUAUUACAGGCAUGAGCCACCGCACCCAGCCUGAGAUGGU